rnacentral:misc_RNA from 1 species
GAUGAAGAACGCAGUGAAAUGUGAUACGUAAUGUGAAUUGCAGAAUUCAGUGAAUCAUCGAGUCUUUGAACGCACAUUGCGCCCCCUGGUAUUCCGGGGGGCAUGCCUGUCCGAGCGUCAUUGCUGCCCUCAAGCACGGCUUGUGUGUUGGGCCUCCGUCCUCCUCCCGGGGGACGGGCCCGAAAGGCAGCGGCGGCACCGCGUCCGGUCCUCGAGCGUAUGGGGCUUCGUCACCCGCUCUUGUAGGCCCGGCCGGCGCUUGCCGACACAUCAAUCUUUUUUCCAGGUUGACCUCGGAUCAGGUAGGGAUACCCGCUGAACUUAAGCAUAUCAAUAAGCGGAGGA